GUGGCCUAGUGGUGAAAGCUCCCGCCUUGAAAGCGAGAGGUCGCGGUUUCGAACCCCGGCAACG